UGGCUGCAUUCACAGCAUUGUAAGAUUUACUUUCCUGGAUGAUUUGAGAAUGCAUCAAGAUGUUAUUAUAAAAACCUGCGCUUGGACGUUGCGCAGGUUUUUUAUAAAUCAGGGCAGGUAAGGAGGAUAAGACACAGGAAGAGGUCUCCAAGCUUAGCCACGCCGGGGCAUUGUUCAUCUCUCAACUUAUAUCCAGAAAUAAGGCUAAACAGUUCAAGUAUUGAGAGCACCGUAGGAAUUGAAGAUGCUGGUUUGAGAUAUAAAGAAGCAAAUCAUCUGCAUAUAAGGAGACCCUUUGUUCCAUACCAUUUCUAGUAACCCUGGUGAUACAUCGGUUAGAUCUGGCGAUAUGGCCAAAGGCUCAAUGGCAAUUGCAAAAUGCAAUGGUACUAUGGGACAGCCCUGCCUAGUCCCUCUGAAAAGAGGAAAAAAGUCCGAAUAUGUGCCAUUUGUUUUAACAGCGGCAAGCAGGGAAGCAUAAAGAAGCUUCAACCAUGCGAUGAUUAUUUUACCAAAGUCAAAAUUUUCCAAAACAUAAAAAAGGUAUCCCCACUCGACUCUGUCAAAAGCUUACUCAGCAUCUAAACUGAUCACAAACUCAGGGCUGUUGGAGUCUGAAGGAUUGUAAAGAACAUUAAACAAACGUCUAAGAUUAGAGAAGGCAUAUCUCCCUUUAAUAAAUCCUGUUUGAUCCAGACUAAUUACAGAUGGCAAGAGUGCUUCCACACGCAUCGCUAAAAGUUAGGCAAGGAUUUUAUAGUCCACAUUUAGCAAAGAAAUGGGACAGUAUGAGCCACAUUGUAAUGGAUCCUUAUCCUUUUUUAAGAUCAAGGAUAUAGAUGCCUGUAGUAGAGAUGGUGGGAGGGAUCUAACUUCAAAUGCGGGGCCAGUUUAGGCAUAAAUUUACGAUAGAACUCAACGGGAAACCCGUCCUGUCUGGGACACUUAGAACACUGUAAUUUGUUGAUAGCUGAUGUAGCCGGAUGGGCUACUGGCCUUUCUUUUUCUUUCUCCCUCCCAUCCGUUUGGCAAAAAGCAGUAGUCAAUGCUGGCAAACCGCGACGGAUUGAUCAGCAAGCGAGUAGAUCAUAUGACAGCUACAGCGCGGAAGUUUCUGUUUUAUUCCGGCGUUGCGGAGAGAGGUGCUCGAGUUAUCUCCACCAGUGAGAGUAUAGCGCCUCCGGUCCUGGGGGUUUGAUUGCUGCCUUCACCUCUCCGUGGCAAAUCGCCCAACCUUAAUUGGAGAAUCAAGACGCCUGUUUGAGGGCUCCUCCUCGCUGGAGCUGCUGUCUUGUUUUGUUGUGAAACUGUUUUUAUUAAGUGGGCUUACCUUUUUCUGGUUCUAUUCUAUUUUAUUCUGGAUUGUUGCUUGUACCCACUCACUUUUACUUAUUUUUCUUAAAUAUAUAUUUCCUAGGGGUGAAAUUCCCCUAGGUGGCGUUGUCGUUUAUUAGUUUUUAUCUAACCCCGCCGACCACUUGGUCACACUUGCAGGAUAUCUUCUACAGUUAUUGGCUCCUCCAGCCAAAGACUAUGUGUUUGAUCAAUUGAUGGGAGUUUAAGAUGAUUGAAAAAGGAGUCCAAAGAUUCAGUGCUAAAUUCACAUUCAGAAGCAUAAAGAGAUGAAUAAAAGUCUCGAAAUUGGUUAUUCAUUAUUUUAGGAUCCAUAGAAACAACAUCAUUGAUGUCUUAAUCCGAGGAAUGAAAUGUGCAGCUGCUGCACUACGAAGCUGAUGGGGAAAGCAGUUUACCGGCCUUAUCCCCAUACUUGUACUGGGAGUGCUGACACUUCAACGACAUCUCUUCAGCCCGACCAGAGGACAAGUGAUCAAACUCAGUCUGCAAGGACAACCUGUCGUUAUAGACCUCUGGUGACCUCUUGAGUUUGAUUGCCAACCAGGCUUAUUUGAGAAUCGAUCCAGCGGACCGAGCCAACAAUUAAAAUCCCCACCAAGGACCAAAUAGUGGGAAGACAAGAAUAGUUUUCACCCCAAUUGGAGCAUAGAUUUUGGCAAAAAUGAAUUUAGUGUUCAAAAUACUCCCACUCACAAUAAUAAAUCUACCAUUCUGGUCUGCUAUAACAUUAGAGGAAACAAUGGAACUGAUUUGUGUAUUAAAAUAGCAGCACGACGGGCUUUGGAUUUGAAUGAAGAGUGAUACAGGCCUACCCACCCCUUACUAAGUCUAAAAUGAUCUGAAAUUUUUAGGUGUGCUUCUCGUAAAAACACAAUCUGGGUGCCCAAAAAUUGCAAUGAUGGAGAACCUUGCUCCUUUUAAUAGGCUGGUUCAGACCUUUAAAAUUCCAGCUGCAAAACUUAAACGAGUGACCUGCUUGUUGGUUAUUAAUAUUUAGUUGCAAUACCAUGUUAGAACUAAGAUUAAAAUAAAACAAAAGCUGACCGGUGAAAAGCACCUAAAGACCAAAAUAAGUGUACAGAACAGUACAACAUAAAAAAACAAAGAAAACACCCAAACUUCCCCCUAAAUGCUGAAGCAUCUUCCCAAACAAGAUGCGCGCACCCCCCUCCAAAUAAACCCCUGUGCACUUCCUCCCAACCAUCCGAAGUCCCAGUUGAGUUCAAGCUCCUUACAAUACAAGGCAGAGACAAAUCAAGGAUUGUAUUAAAAUAUAUUAGAACAAGACACAUCCUAUAAAUCAAGUUUACCUCAAAUAAACACAUGUAUGUCACAAAAAAAGAAUCACAAAAUUAACCAUAUCAGCCUAAAGGGCUAAGGAACUUAUGUGUCUUGAGAGGCAGGGCCCCCCAGGAUCUUAUUGGCAAAGUCUGUGGCAGUAAACUUACGUACAACUCCAUCUGGAAGUGUCACCCUCAGUUCUGCAGGAUAGAACAGGCCGAACUUGAUCCUAGGACAAGAGUGCAGAAGGCGCUUGACACUAGUAAACUGUAAAUGUUUUUUAGCCACUGCAGAAGUGAAGUCUGGAAAAAUUGAGAUCUUUCUGCCCCGGUAAAGUAGAGGAGAGUUUGCCCCUGCAUGAUGUAGCAGCUGUUCCUUGACAUGGAAGUAGUGGACUCUAAUGAGCAGUGGGCGAGGAGGCGCUCCAUCUCUGGGCUUUGGUCCAAGGGAUCUGUGAACCUGAUCCAGCAGAGGUGCUUCUUUCAGUUUCAGAAGGUCUUGCAAAAGAUGUGAAAUAAACUCCCUAGGGUUAGAUGUCUCCGAACUCUCGGGGACACCAAUAAGACGAAUAUUAUUGCGCCUUGCGCCUUCUAAAUCCUCACAUUUGGCUUGCAGUUGUCUGACCUCCUCCUUUAGGACACUUACAGCAGAUUGAGGAGAAGUCAGGUCGUCACUGCAAGUUGUAGCUGAAAGCUCCAAAUCUUUAAUGGUGGUCCCUUGAGCAUUAACGGUGGCCUGUAAGGUGGUUAUUGCAGCUUUAAACUCAGCCUUCACAGCUGAUAUUUCCGACCGCAGUGUAUGAGUAACUGUAUCAAUCUUGCAGUCAAGCUUGUCGCAGAUGUCCCGUUUCAAAACCUCCAAUGCUCUGGUAAACGUGACUUCACUGAACAGUGCACCCGCACCCUGCUCGUAGCUGCCCUCCGUGAUAGCCGUGUCCCAUUGAGAGCCAUGUCCCAGCUCCGGGCUCCGUGAACCACCAGCAUCAGCCUGGCCUCAUUUUCUCCCUUGCUCCCUUUUAUCUCCCAUUGUGCAAAGAAGGCAAAUGGUGGGACUUUUAGUGAAAGAACUUGAUUGUCCUCACGCGGCCCAGCCGUAGUCCUCACUGAUGUUAGAAUGCAAGGGAAGCUGUCGCUCGUGGAGUCAUAUGUAAGGGAAAAGGCCAUGAAGAUAGCAAAACUGGACACUACUGCUGCAGCUACCACAGCCAACCAGGAAGGAAACCAAGAGGCCUCGGAUGCAGCCUUUCUCAGAAGUUGUCAAAAGUAGGUUUCCUGACCUCAAGAAGUAAAAAGCAGGCGACCAACAGCAAAAAGGGUUACUUAGAACACACAAGCCUGAUAUAAAGAGCGAGAAUGUGUAUUAAAAUAACAUUUUUGUCAAUGCUUUGCAGAGCCCCGGGAAACACGUCUUCACACCAUUGUGUCCAACAGUGCCCCUCAAAAUCAGCAACUCUUUGAUGCUGGACUUGCACAUCUCACUUUAAGCCCUGCAAUGUCCAUACUGUUUAACUGGAUACACGCCUUAGAUACACUG